rnacentral:rRNA from 1 species
AACGAACGCUGGCGGCAUGCCUGACACAUGCAAGUCGAACGAUUGCCUUCGGGUGAUAGUGGCGCACGGGUGCGUAACGCGUGGGAAUCUGCCCUUAGGUUCGGAAUAACAGCUGGAAACGGCUGCUAAUACCGGAUGAUAUCGCGAGAUCAAAGAUUUAUCGCCUGAGGAUGAGCCCGCGUUGGAUUAGGUAGUUGGUGGGGUAAAGGCCUACCAAGCCGACGAUCCAUAGCUGGUCUGAGAGGAUGAUCAGCCACACUGGGACUGAGACACGGCCCAGACUCCUACGGGAGGCAGCAGUGGGGAAUAUUGGACAAUGGGCGCAAGCCUGAUCCAGCAAUGCCGCGUGAGUGAUGAAGGCCCUAGGGUUGUAAAGCUCUUUUACCCGGGAAGAUAAUGACUGUACCGGGAGAAUAAGCCCCGGCUAACUCCGUG